AUACAAAUCAUCUGGGGACCUUAUUAAAAUGCAGAAUCUGACUUAGUAGGUCUGAGAGCCUGCAUUUCUGGCAAUCUCCCAGGUGAUGCUGAU
rnacentral:pre_miRNA from 1 species